ACGCACGCUGGCGGCGUGCUUAACACAUGCAGGUCGCACGGAAAGGCCCUGCUUUUGUGGGGUGCUCGAGUGGCGAACGGGUGAGUAACACGUGAGUAACCUGCCCUUGACUUUGGGAUAACUUCAGGAAACUGGGGCUAAUACCGGAUAGGAGCUCCUGCUGCAUGGUGGGGGUUGGAAAGUUUCGGCGGUUGGGGAUGGACUCGCGGCUUAUCAGCUUGUUGGUGGGGUAGUGGCUUACCAAGGCUUUGACGGGUAGCCGGCCUGAGAGGGUGACCGGCCACAUUGGGACUGAGAUACGGCCCAGACUCCUACGGGAGGCAGCAGUGGGGAAUAUUGCACAAUGGGCGGAAGCCUGAUGCAGCAACGCCGCGUGCGGGAUGACGGCCUUCGGGUUGUAAACCGCUUUCGCCUGUGACGAAGCGUGAGUGACGGUAAUGGGUAAAGAAGCACCGGCUAACUACGUG
rnacentral:rRNA from 1 species